UGCGAUGUAAGCAGACAGGACACACACUCCUCACCAAAUGGGGCUUCUCUGCUUCAGUUUGACCCAGUCCUGCCUUGCUCUCCAGGAUGUUGUGUCUGUGGCUCCCUGGAGGCCCGUGCAUGGCAGCUCUGACAGUGACACUGAUGGUGCUGAGUCCUCCUGUGGCUUUGGCCAGGGACACGCGACCACGUUUCUUGGUGUAUGGUAAAUCGGAGUGUCACUUCUCCAAUGGGAGUGAGCGGGUGAGGCUUCUGGCCAGAUACAUCUACAACCAGGAGGAAUUAGUGCUCUUUGACAGCGAGGUGAGUGAGUUCCGUGCUGUGACUCAGCUGGGGAGGCCUGACGCUAAGGCCUGGAACAACCAUAAGGACUUCCUGGAGCAGAUGCGUGCCAUGGUGGACACAGUGUGCAGACACAACUAUCAGAUUGGUGAGAAGACCAUGGUGCAGAGGAGAGUUGAGCCCAAGGUGACUGUGUACUCCACAAAGACCCAGCCCCUGCAGCACCACAACCUCCUGGUCUGCUCUGUGAGUGGCUUCUACCCAGGACACAUUGAAGUCACAUGGUUCCGGAAUGGCCAGGAGCAGGAGAUUGGGGUGGUGUCCACAGGCCUGAUCCAGAAUGGAGACUGGACCUUCCAGAUCCUAGUCAUGCUGGAAACUGUUCCGCAGAGUGGAGAGGUUUAUGCCUGCCAGGUGGAGCACGUGAGCUGGAGCAGCCCUGUCACUGUGGAGUGGAGGUCCGAGUCUGGAUCUGUACAGAGCAAGAAGCUGAGUGGAAUCGGGGGCUUUGUGCUGGGUCUGCUCUUCCUUGCCUUGGGGCUGUUUAUCUACUCCAGGAAUCAGAAAGGAUCUGUGCCCUGCAGAUUCAAGAGGACAGGCUGAUCACCCUAGAAACACUGGCUGCACAGCUGUGGGACACUCUUGCAGUUCAGCUAACAGGACUCCAGAGCUAAGGAGAUGGUGACAGCACUGAAGGGAAGGAUUGUGUCUCUACUGCUCCAUGUCUUCUCCAUGUCAUGUCAGGCUUCCUGCUUGGCUCUUGUUCCCCCACAGAGAGAGGCUCUCCUGGUGCCCAGGACCACACAGAACAUGUCUCCCUGAUGGCUUCCUCUGCCCCUGGGCCCAUCUUGAAUCUCAGACUGCAGAGCCUUCCCUCCAUUCCCUCCUGGACCCUCUGCACUCUGCAUUCACCUGCUCAGUGCUUCUGCACUCUGCAGUGAAAAGUUGCUUUGUUACUUUUUUUGGUCAAAUGAACAUAGAGUGAAAAAUCAUCUGCUCCCUACAGUUUCAAGGACAAAAUAUAAAAAGAAUAUUUUCUUCCUACUUACAAGUAUCUAUCAUCUAUUUUGCUUCUUGUAUACACAAGGGGAGGGAGUGAGAUUAGGGAGAGAAUGGCAAAGGGAAAAAAUAUUCUAGAAGGAAAAAUAUGGAAACAAAUCUGCAUAUAGGGAGUAGAAGAAGGGAUUAAGGAGGGGUGGGCAUGGGUUUAAACAAAGAAGAAUCCAGAUACUUUAUGUACAGGUAGAAAUUUCCUGUGAUGAAUAUGGUUAUUUUGUACAUCAAAAUAUUCCAAUAAAAUUAACUUGAAAAUAGAAAAGAGAACAGAAGGACCAGCUCACAAGACACCACCGAGUUUCAUUUCUGUACAGUAAGUGCGUGAGGGGAUGUUAAGCGGGUUUUCCUCUUGGAACUCUGCACGCUGAUAGUGUUGUGCAUUCUGUUACAGCGUGAGCCACAAUUUUACUGGGAUUUUCUUUCUUCAGAGGAAGAAAUAAUUUAUCUCAAUUUAUGUGAGGACUGUGAUAUGAAACUGUGAGGUAGAAUUAGAGCAUAAGACAAAAUUUCAGUCAAAGUGCUUUGUGCUCCAAAGAGCUGGGAAUCCUGUUUAAUUGUGCUGUUUUUAUGCUUGAUGUGGCAGUAGGUGUUGAAUCCACCUGGGGUUUUUCUAGGCCUGCUCACUUCAGCAUGUAGGUGGCACCUGCAAUGACCCUGCAAUUUCACACCUCAUUCGCAGCCCCUGGCUGCCUCAAGAUGGCAAAAGGACCCCCCCCCCCCCUAGGUUGCAGGUUCGUUCAAAACACCUUGCACUGGCAAGAAGGGGAAGCCCUUCUUCUUGAGUGAUUCUGUAAGCAAACGUUUCAAGUUUCCAGUGAAGCUGUUUACUCAUCCCUAGGAACUAGCAAGGGAUUUGUUGACAGAUCUGACAAAUCAUCCUUCAUGCUUUGUGGACUGGGCCUGAUACCUUGGGAAGAAAUGUGCAUUGUCAUCUCUGUUUGAAAGAAAAGACUAUUAAAAGAGAAUGGUUUCAGAAUAGGGAAAUGACCAUUUCUGAUACCAUUAUAUUGUUAGUGUUUUUAGUUAAUUUCCUCAUGCAGGCCAUUAGAUUUUUUUUCCUUUUUUCUUUUCUUUUCUUUUUGUUGUACUCUAGAAAAAAAAAAGAACUUUGUUAUAUUUGUAUUAUACCUAAAUACCUGUAAUGUGGCCAUACUGUAUAUAUGUCCCCCUUCCCCCUUCUCCCUCUGGAUGACAUAAUUGAUAUGUUAAUCAAUGCUCUCCUUUGUAAAGAAUUGUAAAUUCCUGCAAGACUUCUCUGUCUUCUUCUAAGGGAAACAAAGGUUGCUAAUUGCUGCUAGACUCCUCUAUUCUCUGCUGAGGAAAACAAGAUCUUCCCAUUAGCCUAUUUCCUGAUCCAUUCCCAUGACCUUUACUUUGGGAGCUGUGAUAGGUACUAGAGGGGAGGGAAGUAUUGAGGAGAGACACACAGCUUUUGUAGUCUCCAGCUGCACUGUGUCUCUGGGCCCAGGGUAAAAUAAAUCAGCGCUGCUUUUUAAAAUAUGUUUUUGCCUAAUUUUUAAAACUCAAGCUUGGGGGCUUAUUUGUGGAUUACAAGGCCUUUUCUUUUCUUUUCUUUCUUUCUUUCUUUUUUUGUUUGUUUUUGGUCUUUUUUGAGACAAGUAAUAGCUAUGCUGCUCAGACUUCACCUUGAGCUCCCAUUGUAGCUCUGGCUGAUUUCAAACUUGCCAGGAUCCUCCUUCCCUAGUCUCCUGAGUGCUGGGAUUACAAGCUAGAUUCUUGAUAAGAAUUCUGAAUGGCUGUCUUUUUUAGAAAGAUAUACUGAAUAUUAAAAGCCAGCCAAUAACUCAAAUACAGUGAAACAGAUAAAAUGUCAAAAUGUUGCUCAUUUUUGGAAGCAAAUAUGCUAAUACAUAAUUUUAUAAGGAAAAUACAUUUUCCAAAGAUUUUCUUAAAACAAUACAUAACAAUGAAAGUCUAACUUUGUAAAGUGCUAUAUUCUGUGGUACAUUAUUUUAGCAAACACAUUUUUAUAUUCUUUCAUUAAAUACUCUAGUAAAAUUUUGAUCACAAUGAGAGCCCUAAAAAGCAGAGAAUUAUUUGAGAUAGUUUCAAUUUGUUAACAGAAUA